rnacentral:lncRNA from 1 species
UGCAAUUUAUAUUUCCUUUUGCCACAGCUAACAUGACCAGUCUCAGCCUGAAAACAAAAGCCAAAGAGAAAAAAAAGCAAGCAAGGAAAGGGAAAAAGAGAAAUACUCAUUUACUGUUGAUACGAAUGUAGAUUUGUAUACCCAUUACAUCAAAUAGUACUGGAGACUCAAGACUCAACAGUACCAUAUGGUCUAGCACUAUUACUAGUGUGUAUCCAUCUAAAAGACAUAAAAGUUGAAGGACAUCUGUAUCUCCAUGUUUAUUGCAGGGCUGUUCACAGUAGCCAAGAUUCAGACACAACCUAAAUAAAUGCCCAUCCACAGAUAGUAGAUAAGAAAAUGGGAUGAACCCACAUCGCACAGAACUGUUCAGCAAUAAAAGUCAUGGAAUUCUAUCAGUUUCAGUUUUAGGAAUGAAGAUGAACCAGGGGGACAUUUCUUUCAGUGAAGCAAGCCAGGGCAAAACACCAACUGACCAAAUAAAGC